rnacentral:rRNA from 1 species
GCCAGCAGCCAUAUCACUCUCCAGUUCACAACUGGCAGCCCACUGAAGCUCAGCAGGUGUGAGCCUGGUCAGUACCUGGAUGAGAGACCUCCAGGGAAAGCUAAAGUUGCUGCUGGAA